rnacentral:rRNA from 1 species
GGGUUGUGAGGUUAAGCGACUAAGCGUACACGGUGGAUGCCUAGGCAGUCAGAGGCGAUGAAGGGCGUGCUAAUCUGCGAAAAGCGUCGGUAAGCUGAUAUGAAGCGUAAUAACCGACGAUACCCGAAUGGGGAAACCCAGUGCAAUUCGUUGCACUAUCGUUAGAUGAAUACAUAGUCUAACGAGGCGAACCGGGGGAACUGAAACAUCUAAGUACCCCGAGGAAAAGAAAUCAACCGAGAUUCCCCCAGUAGCGGCGAGCGAACGGGGAGGAGCCCAGAGUCUGAAUCAAGUGGUGUGUUAGUGGAAGCGUCUGGAAAGUCGCACGGUACAGGGUGAUAGUCCCGUACACCAAAACACACUGCCUGUGAACUCGAUGAGUAGGGCGGGACACGUGACAUCCUGUCUGAAUAUGGGGGGACCAUCCUCCAAGGCUAAAUACUCCUGACUGACCGAUAGUGAACCAGUACCGUGAGGGAAAGGCGAAAAGAACCCCGGCGAGGGGAGUGAAAUAGAACCUGAAACCGUGUACGUACAAGCAGUGGGAGCACCUUCGUGGUGUGACUGCGUACCUUUUGUAUAAUGGGUCAGCGACUUAUAUUUUGUAGCAAGGUUAACCGAAUAGGGGAGCCGUAGGGAAACCGAGUCUUAACUGGGCGUCUAGUUGCAAGGUAUAGACCCGAAACCCGGUGAUCUAGCCAUGGGCAGGUUGAAGGUUGGGUAACACUAACUGGAGGACCGAACCGACUAAUGUUGAAAAAUUAGCGGAUGACUUGUGGCUGGGGGUGAAAGGCCAAUCAAACCGGGAGAUAGCUGGUUCUCCCCGAAAGCUAUUUAGGUAGCGCCUCGUGAACUCAUCUUCGGGGGUAGAGCACUGUUUCGGCUAGGGGGCCAUCCCGGCUUACCAAACCGAUGCAAACUCCGAAUACCGAAGAAUGUUAUCACGGGAGACACACGGCGGGUGCUAACGUCCGUCGUGAAGAGGGAAACAACCCAGACCGCCAGCUAAGGUCCCAAAGUCAUGGUUAAGUGGGAAACGAUGUGGGAAGGCAUAGACAGCCAGGAUGUUGGCUUAGAAGCAGCCAUCAUUUAAAGAAAGCGUAAUAGCUCACUGGUCGAGUCGGCCUGCGCGGAAGAUGUAACGGGGCUAAACCAUGCACCGAAGCUGCGGCAGCGACGCUUAGGCGUUGUUGGGUAGGGGAGCGUUCUGUAAGCCGUUGAAGGUGGUCUGUGAGGGCUGCUGGAGGUAUCAGAAGUGCGAAUGCUGACAUAAGUAACGAUAAUGCGGGUGAAAAACCCGCACGCCGGAAGACCAAGGGUUCCUGUCCAACGUUAAUCGGGGCAGGGUGAGUCGACCCCUAAGGCGAGGCUGAAAAGCGUAGUCGAUGGGAAACAGGUUAAUAUUCCUGUACUUGGUGUUACUGCGAAGGGGGGACGGAGAAGGCUAGGCUAGCCGGGCGACGGUUGUCCCGGUUUAAGCAUGUAGGCGGAGUGACUUGGUAAAUCCGGUUGCUUAUCAACGCUGAGGUGUGAUGACGAUGCACUACGGUGCAGAAGUAGUUGAUGCCAUGCUUCCAGGAAAAGCCUCUAAGCAUCAGGUAACAUGAAAUCGUACCCCAAACCGACACAGGUGGUCAGGUAGAGAAUACUCAGGCGCUUGAGAGAACUCGGGUGAAGGAACUAGGCAAAAUGGUGCCGUAACUUCGGGAGAAGGCACGCUGGCGCUAGGUGAAGAGACUUGCUCUCGGAGCUGAAGCCAGUCGCAGAUACCAGCUGGCUGCAACUGUUUAAUAAAAACACAGCACUGUGCAAACACGAAAGUGGACGUAUACGGUGUGACGCCUGCCCGGUGCUGGAAGGUUAAUUGAUGGGGUCAGCCGCAAGGCGAAGCUCUUGAUCGAAGCCCCAGUAAACGGCGGCCGUAACUAUAACGGUCCUAAGGUAGCGAAAUUCCUUGUCGGGUAAGUUCCGACCUGCACGAAUGGCGUAAUGAUGGCCAGGCUGUCUCCACCCGAGACUCAGUGAAAUUGAACUCGCUGUGAAGAUGCAGUGUACCCGCGGCAAGACGGAAAGACCCCGUGAACCUUUACUAUAGCUUGACACUGAACAUUGAGCCUUGAUGUGUAGGAUAGGUGGGAGGCAUUGAAGUGUGGACGCCAGUCUGCAUGGAGCCAACCUUGAAAUACCACCCUUUAAUGUUUGAUGUUCUAACUCGGCCCCGUAAUCCGGGGUGAGGACAGUGUCUGGUGGGUAGUUUGACUGGGGCGGUCUCCUCCCAAAGAGUAACGGAGGAGCACGAAGGUUAGCUAAUCACGGUCGGACAUCGUGAGGUUAGUGCAAAGGCAUAAGCUAGCUUGACUGCGAGAGUGACGGCUCGAGCAGGUACGAAAGUAGGUCUUAGUGAUCCGGUGGUUCUGAAUGGAAGGGCCAUCGCUCAACGGAUAAAAGGUACUCCGGGGAUAACAGGCUGAUACCGCCCAAGAGUUCAUAUCGACGGCGGUGUUUGGCACCUCGAUGUCGGCUCAUCACAUCCUGGGGCUGAAGUAGGUCCCAAGGGUAUGGCUGUUCGCCAUUUAAAGUGGUACGCGAGCUGGGUUUAGAACGUCGUGAGACAGUUCGGUCCCUAUCUGCCGUGGGCGUUGGAAGAUUGAGAGGGGCUGCUCCUAGUACGAGAGGACCGGAGUGGACGAAUCACUGGUGUUCGGGUUGUCAUGCCAAUGGCAUUGCCCGGUAGCUAAAUUCGGAAGAGAUAACCGCUGAAAGCAUCUAAGCGGGAAACUUGCCUCGAGAUGAGUCUUCCCUGGGGCUUCAAGCCCCCUGAAGGAACGUUAAAGACGAUGACGUUGAUAGGCUGGGUGUGUAAGUGCAGCGAUGCAUUGAGCUAACCAGUACUAAUGAUCCGUGAGGCUUAACCUUACAACACCAAAGGUGUUUUG